rnacentral:rRNA from 1 species
GGGCUUGACAUCCCACGAAUCCCUUCGAAAGACGGGAGUGCCCGCAAGGGAGCGCGGAGACAGGUGGUGCAUGGCUGUCGUCAGCUCGUGUCGUGAGAUGUUGGGUUAAGUCCCGCAACGAGCGCAACCCUCACCUCUUGUUGCCACCAGGUCAUGCUGGGCACUCUAGAGGAACUGCCCCGGUCAACGGGGAGGAAGGCGGGGAUGACGUCAAGUCAUCAUGCCCCUUACGUCCUGGGCUACACACGUGCUACAAUGGCCGGUACAAAGGGAUGCCACACCGCGAGGUAGAGCUAAACCCAAAAAGCCGGUCUAAGUUCAGAUUGGAGUCUGCAACUCGACUCCAUGAAGGAGGAAUCGCUAGUAAUCGCGUAUCAGCACGACGCGGUGAAUACGUUCCCGGGCCUUGUACACACCGCCCGUCACACCACGAAAGCCAGUUGUACUCGAAGUCGCUGAG